GCGAACGGGUGAGUAAUGAGUACGAACGUACUCUCAAGCGGAACAUAGCCCACCGAAAGGUGGGGUAAUUUUCCAUAGUCUCGCAAGAGUAAAGAUGCAAAUCACUUGAGAAGCGGCGUACUUGCCACCAGCUAGUUGGUAGGGUAACGGCCUACCAAGGCUAUAACGGCUAACGGCUCUUAGCGGAGAGUCCGUCACAAUGGGACUGAGACACGGCCCAUACUUCUACGGAAGGCAGCAGUUAGGAAUCUUGCGCAAUGGACGAAAGUCUGACGCAGCGACAUCGCGUGAAGGAUGAAGGCCCUCGGGUCGUAAACUUCUUUUAUUUUCUCAUGAAGAGCUUUUGAAUAAGCAACUACUAACUACGUGCCAGCAGUCGCGGUAAUACGUAGGUUGCAAGCGUUACCCGGUUUUAUUGGGCGUAAAGCGUCUGUAGGUGGUUUGAUAAGUCUUGUUUCAAAGACCCCAGCUUAACUGGGGGAAGGGGCAAGAUACUGUCAGACUAGAGUUAUAUCGGGGUUACUGGAAUUUUUAGUGUAGGGGUAAAAUCCGUGGAUACUAAAAAGAACACCAAGCGCGAAGGCGGGUAACCAGGUAUAUACUGACACUCAGAGACGAAAGCUAGGGUAGCCAAUCAGAUUAGAGACCUGAGUAGUCCUAGCCGUAAACUAUGUAUGUUAAUUUUCUGCCCCUUUGGGGUGGGAGAUGUAAGCUAACGCGUUAAACAUACCGCCUGGGGAGUAUAGCCGCAAGGCCGAAACUCAAACGAAUUGGCGGGGAGGCGCACAACCAGUGGAGCAUGUGGUUUAAUUCGAUACGAAGCGA
rnacentral:rRNA from 1 species